GCUGGGCAUGGUGGUGCCUGCCUGUAAUUCUAGCAGAUUGGGAGGCUGAGGCAGGAGGAUCACGAGUUCAAAACCAGCCUCAG
rnacentral:sRNA from 1 species